UUUUAUUUAUUUUUACUGAAAGUGAGAGGGAACUUUUGUGGCCUUUUUUCCUUUUUCUGUAGGCCGCCUUAAGCUUUCUAAAUUUGGAACAUCUAAGCAAGCUGAAGGGAAAAGGGGGUUUCGCAAAAUCACUCGGGGGAAGGGAAAGGUUGCUUUGUUAAUCAUGCCCUAUGGUGGGUGAUUAACUGCUUGUACAAUUACGUUUCACUUUUAAUUAAUUGUGCUUAAGGCUUUAAUUAAAUUUGGGGGUUCCCUUCUUAGAGCAGCUCGUACUGACGAAGGUGCAUGCGCUGAAUGAUGUCACGGCAGUCGUUGAACACACGGCGGAUGUUCUCAGUGUCCACAGCGCAGGUG
rnacentral:lncRNA from 10 species